rnacentral:lncRNA from 1 species
CACGCCCGCCUUGGCCUUUUGGGGGGGGUUUGGGGAGUUUUGGGGCAUUUUGGGUCGUUUUAGUUUGGGUUUGGGUCACUUUGGGUCGCUUUGGAGUGUUUUGGGGCGUUUUAGCGCGUUUACGGGUGUUUUGGGGGCGUUUUUGCAUGUUUUUGGGAGUUUCUUGGGCAUUUUUUUGUGUUUUGGGGUGUUUUUCAGUGUUUUUGGGCGUUUCUUUGGUGUUUUUGCCUGUUUUGGGGUAUUUCUUGGGCGUUUUUGCGCGUUUUUAGGCGUUUCUUGGGCAUUUUUGUGCGUUUUUGCACGUUUGAGGGUGUUUCUUGGGUGUUUUUGCGUGUUUAGGGGCAUUUUUGCGCGUUUCUUGGGUGUUUUUUCGUGUUUUGGGGUGUUUUUGAGUGUUUUUGGGCGUUUCUUUGGUGUUUUUGCCCGUUUUCGGGUAUUUUUGGGGCGUUUUUGGGCUCACCUUUCAGCGGCAGGGGCCGGCCGACGGAGUGGAGGCAGCGGACGAAGUCGCCGGCGGCCAGCGAGGGGAAGAUCUGGUGGCCCACGCGGGUCAUGAUGCGCAUGGAGGCCACGACGUAGGGCGAGUCGGUCAGCUGCACGCCCGCCUUGGCCAGCGGCGACGAGGGGGGGCCCAUGCUGAAGGGGAUGAUGUACAUGGUGCGGCCUGGGGGGGGGGACCCCAAAAAAAAGGGUUGGAGACCCCAAAAAAAGGGUUGGAGACCCCAAAAAGGAGACCCCCAAAAAGGUGAGGAAGACCCCAAAAAGAAGACCCCAAAAAGGAGACCCCAAAAAGGGUGAAGAAGACC